rnacentral:rRNA from 1 species
GAGGAAGUAAAAGUCGUAACAAGGUUUCCGUAGGUGAACCUGCGGAAGGAUCAUUACCGAAUUGUCGACACGAGUUGUUGCUGGCCCUCGAAGGGGGGCACGUGCACGCUCUGUUUACACAUCCACUCACACCUGUGCACCCUCUGUAGUUCUAUGGCCUGGAGGACACCGUCCCCUUGCUGUGGUCCUACGUUUUUACACACACACUGUAACAAAGUCUUAUGGAAUGAAUGUCGCGUUUAACGCAAUACAAUACAACUUUCAGCAACGGAUCUCUUGGCUCUCGCAUCGAUGAAGAACGCAGCGAAAUGCGAUAAGUAAUGUGAAUUGCAGAAUUCAGUGAAUCAUCGAAUCUUUGAACGCACCUUGCGCCCUUUGGCUAUUCUGAAGGGCAUGCCUGUUUGAGUAUCAUGAACACCUCAGCUCUUGUGGUUUACCAUGAUGAGCUUGGACUUUGGGGGUCUUGCUGGCCUAUGGUCGGCUCCUCUUAAAUGAAUCAGCUUGCCAGUGUUUGGUGGCAUCACAGGUGUGAUAACUAUCUACGCUUGUGGUUUUCCACCAGGUAACCUUCAGUCACGGAGGUUCGCUGGGGCUCACAAAUGUCUCUCCUCAGUGAGGACAGCUUUUUAACGUUUGAUCUCAAAUCAGGUAGGACUACCCGCUGAACUUAAGCAUAUCA